UGAGUACGAGAUGCUACGGCAUCGAAGCAGUCUAUGUCAUACUUCCAAGAAAAGCUUGCACUGUCAUAAACAAAGAAUGCCUGUACCAUAACCGACACAGGUGGGUAGGUAGAGUAUACUAAGGGGCGCGAGAUAACUCUCUCUAAGGAACUCGGCAAAAUGACUCCGUAACCUCGGGAGAAGGAGUGCCUUAUUUCUAAGGUUGCAAUAACAAGAUCCAAGCAACUGUUUACCAAAAACACAGGUCUCCGCUAAGUCGUAAGACGAUGUAUGGGGGCUGACGCCUGCCCAGUGCCAGAAGGUUAAAGAAGUUGGUUAGCAUUAGCGAAGCUGAUAACUGAAGCCCUGGUGAACGGCGGCCGUAACUAUAACGGUCCUAAGGUAGCGAAAUUCCUUGUCGGGUAAGUUCCGACCCGCACGAAAGGCGUAAUGAUCUGGAUACUGUCUCGGAGAGGGGCUCGGUGAAAUAGACUUGUCUGUGAAGAUGCGGACUACCUGCACCUGGACAGAAAGACCCUAUGAAGCUUUACUGUAACUUGAGAUUGAAAUUGGACUUUAUUUGCGCAGUAUAGGUGGGAGGCGUUGAGAAUAAUCUUGCGGGAUUGUUGGAGCCAUCAGUGAGAUACCACUCUUGUAAUGUUAGAUUUCUAACUUUGUAUCAUUAUCUGGUCAAAGAACAGUUUCAGGCGGGCAGUUUGACUUGGGCGGUCGCCUCCCAAAGGGUAACGGAGGCGCACAAAGGUUUCCUCUGAACGGGUAGAAAUCGUAUCUAGAGUGUAAAGGCAUAAGGAAGCUUGACUGUGAGACCUACAAGUCGAGCAGGGACGAAAGUCGGUCUUAGUGAUCUGACGGUGCUGAGUGGAAAGGCCGUCACUCAACGGAUAAAAGUUACUCUAAGGAUAACAGGCUGAUCUCCCCCAAGAGUUCACAUCGACGGGGAGGUUUGGCACCUCGAUGUCGGCUCAUCGCAUCCUGGGGCGGUAGUCCGUCCCAAGGGUUGGGCUGUUCGCCCAUGAAAGCGGUACGCGAGCUGGGUUCAGAACGUCGUGAGACAGUUCGGUCCAUAUCCGGUGUAGGCGUUAGAAUAUUGAGAGGAGCCUUCUCUAGUACGAGAGGACCGAGAAGGACAUACCUCUGGUGUACCAGUUAUCGUGCCAACGGUAAACGCUGGGUAGCUAUGUAUGGAGUGGAUAACCGCUGAAAGCAUCUAAGUGGGAAGCCCACCUCAAGAUAAG
rnacentral:rRNA from 1 species